rnacentral:lncRNA from 1 species
GGUUUGACAUGACGUCAUACAGAUUAGGGUUUUGAUAAAGCCUUUGCAACAGUGACUGCAAUCGAUGACGUGACGUCAUACAGAUUAAAGGUGUGAUAAAGCUUUUGCAACCGUGCUGAUAUCGAUAUCAUCACGGGUGGCUGAUACAGCACGCUUGCCAUUGAUUGUAUUACACAUACAAUUUAUCUGUAUUUACUACUAAGUAUAUAAUAAAUCUCGUUAUU